UGGGGCGUUCAUGCUGGGGGGGAAACACCCGUUCCCAUUCCGAAUACGGUAGUUAAGCCCCUCAAGGUCGAUGGUACUCUAGUCGUAAGGCUACGGGAGAGUAGAUAGACGCUCCUU
rnacentral:rRNA from 1 species